GCGCUGGAGAAUUGAGGGGGGCUGCUCCUAGUACGAGAGGACCGGAGUGGACGCAUCACUGGUGUUCGGGUUGUCAUGCCAAUGGCACUGCCCGGUAGCUAAAUGCGGAAGAGAUAAGUGCUGAAAGCAUCUAAGCACGAAACUUGCCCCGAGAUGAGUUCUCCCUGAGACUUUAAGUCUCCUGAAGGAACGUUGAAGACGACGACGUUGAUAGGUCGGGUGUGUAAGCGCAGCGAUGCGUUGAGCUAACCGAUACUAAUGAACCGUGAGGCUUAACCUUACAACGCCGAAGGUGUUU
rnacentral:rRNA from 1 species